rnacentral:rRNA from 1 species
GACGAACGCUGGCGGCGUGCUUAACACAUGCAAGUCGAACGGAAAGGCCUUGCUUUUGUGGGGUGCUCGAGUGGCGAACGGGUGAGUAACACGUGAGUAACCUGCCCUUGAUUUUGGGAUAACUUCAGGAAACUGGGGCUAAUACCGGAUAGGAGCUCCUGCUGCAUGGUGGGGGUUGGAAAGUUUCGGCGGUUGGGGAUGGACUCGCGGCUUAUCAGCUUGUUGGUGGGGUAGUGGCUUACCAAGGCUUUGACGGGUAGCCGGCCUGGGAGGGUGACCGGGCACGUUGGGACUGGGAUACGGCCCAGACUCCUACGGGAGGCAGCAGUGGGAAAUGUUGCACAAUGGGCGGAAGCCUGAUGCAGCAACGCCGCGUGCGGGAUGACGGCCUUCGGGUUGUAACCCGCUUUCGCCUGUGACGAAGAGUGAGUGACGGUAAUGGGUAAAGAAGCACCGGCUAACUACGUG